rnacentral:misc_RNA from 1 species
AAGUUGUAACAAGGUUUCCGUAGUUCGGUCCGGGGAUUGUAAAGAUCUUUCCGCAGAAUAACACCAACAGAAGCCUUAGCAGCCAGAAAUGGUUUCUAUCACCGACUAUAAAUAUUACAGAUAGGAUUAAAUGCUAGUGCGGCUCUAACUAUAGAGUUGUGCUACACUGUCAAAUUGCGGGAAGCCGUAAAGUCCUUGAAUACCGCAGCCGGUCGCAGUAAUGCACGGCGUGCACCGGGUUAUCAGUAACUUGGGGGAUGGUCAGAAUUUCAAGGAAUGAUAUCAGUCUUAAUCUGAUGGAAAUCGGUAAUCCGCAGCCAAUCACUUUUAAUAAGUGUGCAGUUCACAGGCCAAAUGUCAGUGGGUCCCUAGCGGGCUUAAGAUAUGGUCGGUCUCCUUGCGAAAGCUAGGGGAAAGUUACUCUCAGAAUACGCAAACGUUCCGUAGGUGAACCUGCGGAAGGAUCAUUAAUGAAUUCAAGGAUGCUCUUUUUAGAGGUCCGACCAUUUCAUUUUCCUUACCCUGUGCAUUAACUACAUCUUUACACACAUUUUUUAAACCCUGUCAGUAUGAAGAAUGUCAAUUGUCUCUUAAUUGAGCAUAAAUCAAUAAAA